CUCAGAUUGAUGUCCAGAUCACACCUGGGACUCACGCCUCAGAGGAAGCAGUGAACAAGCAGCUGGCCGACAAAGAGCGAGUGGCAGCAGCUCUGGAGAACUCCUCUCUGCUUGAGGUGGUGAACCAGUGUCUGACCAGCAGGAGCAUCUGAGCAGCACAUCAGCUUCAUGUCUUCUUCUUUUGUCUCUGAGCUGCCAGACAAGUGAGAAGCAUCUGUCUGUGCACAACUCACCAAACCUGCUGUUUAGACGCUGGUUUCAAGAACUGGGAACCAAGUCUUUAUUGUGUUAAAGAGAGUAUUAAGUGUGUUUUAUGCAGAGUGGUCUGAACGCAGCAGAGAGAAUUUAACGGGAGAAAGUGAAGAACUUCUUCUGGUUAAGUUUUUUUAAAGGUUAAUGCCUGUUUUAUAUAAUUACAUUUGAAUAGUAACAUUAUCAAAGGAUGAAACUAUUCUGACUCGUCAUCUGCUCAGAGUCUGCAAAAUCAAUUGUCAUAUAUUCAUUAUAUUAAUGCUUUUUGAAAUGUAUGAAAAGCCUGUAAUUUAAAUAAAGUUAUGAAGAUA